GGCCCAAGCCCCAGCGUGCGGGGGCGGCGAGCGCUGCUCGGUCAGACAGAGCGACGGCCGCUGGGACCGGCUCCCUCGCAAGGGCUGGGGAGGAGAGCCCCGCGUGGCCGGAUAAAUACGGGGGAGGAGAAGGGCGUCUCUCCCUCUCCCCACCUCCCUCCACCUCCUCCCUCCCCCCCGCCGCGGAGGGCGCGCUUGGAGCUGCCUCUGUGUGUCCGGGCGCCCGGGGCGGCUCCGCGCCCUUCCGCCGUGCCGUGCCGUGCCGUGCCGUGCCGUGCGGUGCGGGCUGGGCGCGGGAGGCUGCUGCUGCUGCUGAAGGUGAAGCUCUCGCUCUCCAAUUACUUUUCCCAAGAGAGAGAAGGAGGCAGCAGGAGGGGGAAGUCGUGCUGUGUGUGGAAGGCACACCAAUCAGAGAUGCUCUAACGGAGGGACUGCUGCAGGACGCGCCGGCUUCUCCUCCUUCCUCUGCCGGCGGGGCUGAAUCGGGACCACGCGCAGCUGGCGUAGGGGCCGGAGCCGUACUGGGCUGCAGGACUUACCCAUCUCCGCUUUUCCAUUAGCUCAACCAUACUUCGUGCUCUCUAUUUUUUCCUUUUUUAAUACUCUGAAAUCGUGCGCAAGAAGCACUCCAAGUCUUUUCUCCAUUCCCAGUUACUUCACCGUUCCUCUAGCGUCUCUUAGCCGGAUUCCUGGUGUAUUCGCAGAGAGCCGGGGUGAGCGAGCCGGGCCCCGCGGACGGCUGCUGCCCCAGCCGGGCCGAGCCGAGGGGAGCCGAGCGGAGCGGGGCACGGCGCCGCUCCAUGCCCCGAGCGCUGGCGGGGCGCGGGGCGUGUGCCGGCGAUGCCCGGGCGGUAAGGCUGGAGCUCCCCCCGGACGGGAGGCGGCCGAUCGCUAGGCAUUUCUAGCAAGAAUCGGGACUGCAGAUGAAGAACUAUGCUGAAUGACUUCCUAAUCCUCUGGGAACAGCUCCGUGGAAACAAAAGAUGAAUAAGAGAUACUUACAGAAAGCAACAAAAGGAAAACUGCUAAUAAUAAUAUUUGUUGUAACACUGUGGGGGAAAUUAGCAUCUGGGGCAAAUCAUCAUAAAGCUCACCAUGUUAAAACUGGGACCUGUGAAGUGGUGGCGCUUCACAGAUGCUGCAAUAAGAAUAAGAUAGAAGAAAGAUCACAGACAGUGAAGUGUUCCUGCUUCCCUGGGCAGGUAGCAGGUACCACCCGGGCAGCUCCUUCUUGUGUUGAUGCUUCGAUAGUGGAGCAGAAAUGGUGGUGCCACAUGCAACCAUGUCUUGAAGGGGAGGAAUGUAAAGUUCUUCCAGAUCGUAAGGGAUGGAGCUGUUCCUCUGGGAAUAAAGUGAAAACAACUAGGGCAAACGUGUAAAACUCCUCAAGUCCGAAUGGAGAAGUAGAGAAAGGAGGUUUCUGCUGUGCCUGAUGACAAUUUUUGUUUUUUCCACACUCAAAAAAUAUUCUGGCUCCACGAUGGAGCACUAGUUGUGAUGAGUCCUAGUCUUGGUCGGAUUCUAAGGAAGGGCCAGAACGUUCGUUGAGGAAUAAAGAGUCAAACCACUCCAGAAAAUGUGUUCCAGCCCCGGUUUAUUGCUCACAGAGCAGCAGGUAACCCGAUAGCUAAAGACAAAUCAAGCCAGUCUCAAGGCUGAUAACUUUAAAUACAACACAUAGGAAUUUCAUUCAUCCAGGCAAUCCUUGAAGUGAAAUUUUAUACUGCUGGGGUGUAUCCUUCAGAAUCAAUUGUUUCAAUGAGAACCUGGCUUGCAAUCAGCAAGAGCCUUGAGAUCAAAACUACUGGAAAGUUAUUUUGAACUUCUGUGUCACAAAUAUUUCAACUGAUUGAACUGUGUACACUUGUAGAAUUACACUUGCUGAGGAAUUUGCAGCUGUAAUCAUGAGCUAAUAUACUAAAGGUGCAGAAAAGCAACAAACUUUUGGGUUCUCCGUUGCAGAACAGUGGCUUUUCAUCUUGAAGUCAAACUCUGAAAUGUAUUGGAUCCUUCACUCUGAAAUGAUCCUUGGUCCACUGUUCAGAUUGCUGGUGGGACUGCACACGGCUUUAAUUAAAUUUCUGUUGCAGAAAUUGUCCUCAAGCAUGGCGCAGUUUUAGACAUUUUAUUUGUGUUCUAAUCUUGCAGCUCUCAAAGGUACAUAUUUCAACAUCUUGAAGUUGCUUUGUUAUAGGAAUGGAAUUAUAUAUCCAUUGUUAAUAAUUAUUGUUGACAAGUAAUAGUUAUCUGAAUACAUCAGUCAUAUUAGAAUGUAUAGUCAGGUUGACAUGUUUCCCUAAGGCUAACCAACUACUGCAGCUUAACAGUUAAAGAAAGUAGUGGUCAAAACUCAAUUACCACUUCCAUCAUAAGGCAUUUUAUAUAUUUAAUAUAUGCAUUUCGAUUUAGUUUGAAGGAAAUGGGUGUUCCCAAUAUGUACUUUACUUUCCUAACCUUUAAUUCAUUUAAAUUGAUGGUACGAAGUCAAUUACACUAUUUCAUCCAUUUUUUACAAAGAUAGGCAGGGAUGUAAAUGAGUUUUGCAGUUAUGAUAUUGGAUGGGAAGUAUUCAGAAUUUUUGUCUUUUUAUUAAAAAAUAAAAUCUCUUGCUUGAACCUAAAUACUGAUGGAUGCUUAUGUAGAUGUCUGCUCAGUCUGUUUGCCAUAAAGGAAAAAAGUCCUAGUGCUCUCCCAGUUUUACACUUCAUGGGUAUUUUGCUUGCAUACAGUCAUCCAAUUCAGAUCUGUUUUGUUAGAAAAUAUUGAACUUUGAAAUGUGUUGUUACAUGAAAAAAAAUCCUCAAUAUUUGAAGGCCUUAAGCAUCUUUGAGCUUUUUUCUAAGUUAUUACAGAAUGUAUAAUUUUAUACUCCAUUUAAUGUAUAUUGGACCAUCUGUAAUGUUGAUACAAAAGAAGUUUGGCAAUUCCUUUUAGUGACACUGCAUAAAUACAAUGACUAGAGGGAGUUCUGACUGUAUGCUUUGGUGAAUUGAAAUGAAAGCCACACACACCUAAUGGUAGUCAAAAAUACAUAGAAGUAAGCUUGUUUAAGUCUGUGGUUAUCAAACACAGCAAAACCCCCAAAAAUAGAAAAAAAACCAAAUAAAAAGAAAAAAAAAAGAAGAAAAGGAAUAGAAAGAAAUGGCUUAAUCAUUACAAGCCAUUGACAUGGGUAGUUUAGUUAUAUAUUAAGUUCUGUGAUGGAUGAACACCCUGGUGAGCUCUGCCUGUCGCUGUAGCCCCUGCUGUUCCAAAACCAUUUCAUUACCUCUGCUGUAUUAUUGCACAGGAGAGCUUAAAUAAAAUAAAUGACUGUUGGGAAUAAAACUGAGAAGUAUAUUCUAUCAUUUUGCUCAGAAAUAAUAAGAAAUAUGUUGACAGAAAAAGAUCUUAUUUUCUGAUUAAAAUUUAAUUAGAAUAAACCGGUUGUAGCAGAAACUAAGUCUCUUGGUAUUUUAGGAUGGAUUAGUAUUAUAUGGAUUUGUGCUAAGAGGUUCAGGAUGGAAGGAACAUCUUAAAGAGGUUUUCUGGGACAGUGCAAAGUGUAAAUGUGCUGUUUUGUAAAAUCUAAAUAUGACCUCUGUUUGGUCGAAAAUCUACAUCAUGCUUCUCAAUACUUGUUUUCUUUGUUUCCUUUUUCUUAAACAGCGCUGAAAAUACUGUAUUAUAUACAAGUGUAACACAUGCAUACCAAUAAAUGAAAAUAAAUGGAUUUUCAAAUAUACUGAAUAGAUUCUCUGCAGUAGAUUAAUGUUGUGACUAUUCAUAGCAAGUGAAUAAAAUUGUAAUAUAAAAUAGAGUUCCCUGUAUGGAUGUGUGCAUUGGAGGUCUGUUUACUCAUGGAACAAAAUAAUUUUUUGGUGAAUAAGAAUCUCAAAGGUUUUAUUAACUUUAUAUUUCCUACCACUUUGAAAUGUCUUUUUUUGAAAGGAACUGAUACCUAUGGGAAAUUCUGGUGGGUGUACUGUUGUUUUCAGUUCAGAUUGAAUAAAUUUUUUCUCUUCACAAAAUAUGAAUCCUGAAAAAUUGUCAUUUAGAUGUUUUAAGUAGCAACAAGACAUGGUAGACAAUCCUGAAAAAGUAAUAUUUCAGGUUAAUAUGUAGAACUGUUUAAAAGGAAAGGAAAAAGAAAGCCAGAUUCUCAGAUCUGCUUGUGCACCUUGAAGCAAGCUGGGAGCCCCAGUUCAGGUGUCCAUAGUGCAGGUUUAAGCUCCUUCAAAAAUGGAGUGACAGGAUCAGCUAUGUCCAUUCAUGUAAGAAUAUUAAUUGCUUCAAUUAAUAAUUUAUUCAUUUAUAUAAUAUUUUCUAGAUUGUUUCAUCUGAUUGCAAAAAUGAUCAGGCAUUAGGAUCAGAUCCAUGUUACUCUUUGAAUUAAGUAAUCAUCAAGAAUCCUGAACUGCAGAAUAUGAAGUUCUGCGGUUCCAAGUGGCAGUGCAUUGAGAGAGGAAGAAAAAUCACAGCUUUGUGAUACCUCUCACAGUUAGAUGUAUUGGAUCAGUUCAGCAAAGCACAAAAGGAAGUCCUGAUAUGAAUCUUAAUGAAAAAAGAUUCAAAUCUAAAAUAAAGCUUGAAAAGCAUUCAAGUCUAGAUCUUGGUUGUAUGUGGCUUAUUGGUCAUAAAAAAUGUUAACCUUUUGAAACAGCACUGCUGCAGGUAACACUGUUACUACCUAUAAAUACACCUAUUGUGCUAUAUAUUUUCAAUUCCUGUAUUCAUCCUGUAUCUUUAAGAUCUUGACUACUUCAGCUCUGCCUAAAAAUGUUUCUGGUCUAGCAUUUCAGUACUUCACCAAAAAAAUGCAGUUCUAUUUUGUUAAGAGUCUAUAUGCUUUAGGAGUGCAUCAGAUGCAUUUAUUUUGAAAAUAAAUAAUCUGAUAUGAAGUAUUUUAAUUUGUUAGUUUUUAUAAAAAUAUAUGCAAGGAUUUUUUUGCUCAUUAUAAUUGUACAGCUGGCUUUUAUAAUUUCUAGGUAAUGCAUGAAAAUCUGUAACAACACAACAGAAAUAUGUGAUUGGCAUCCUUUUCUGUUGAUUUACUGCCUCCUCCUUCAUGCCUCAAAUUUUACACAUCUGUUAACCAAUCUAUUGGCAAAGAAAAGGAGCACAGUUUUGAUUUACAAAGAACUGUUGCCCUAAUUUCUAGGUUUUUUUUGCCAAAAGUUGUAUAACUCUGAAUCAAACCUGUCACACCUGAAUAAUCUGAUGCCAUUAAAUGAUUUCUUGUGAAUUCAGUGGUCUUAAAUUGUAAAAUAAGAAUUUCCUAAUCACUUUGUCUUUAUAACAAAGUUUGUAUCCUGAAAAACAUUUUUGUUUAUUUUUUCACAGAAUGAGUGAAUGUUUCCAGAUUACAUCUUUGGUCUUGUUUCUGUAAGAGCUUAUUUAACUUUUGGACACUACUUCACAGACAGUCAUUGCAAAUAUUUUAGCAAAAGUAUGGCUGGGUUUUUUGUACAUUCUGUAUUCAUUCUGUACUACAGAAGAGGUAGUACAUGAAAAGGUUGAAUUUCCCACAGCUUUGCUAACAGUUGAGAUUACAAGUGUUGUCAAUGUCUUGUUAUCCAAAACUAAUUUAAGACCAUCUGGCAGGAGGGCCACUGAUGGUGAGACUGGAAACUCUUGUGUAAGGGAGUGACAGUUCUUUAUCAGACUGCUGUGAGUAGGAUGCUGGGAGAGUCAAACAACUGAAGCAUGGUUUCAUCACCAGAGAUGUAGGGUCUGGGGAAGUGGAUCCAGCCUGUGAGCACAGGGGUACAGUCAGCAUCCUGAACCUGUGGCUGUGGGGGUGACAGUAGGACCUUAGACCUGUUCUCUGGGUUGUAGGAAAGGUUUGACUCCUGCCUCCGGGAUUUUCUGCACAGUCAGAUGACAGAAAUGACAGGGCACCUGGGUAAUUUCAGUGUGGUUUGUAUAAGGCCGUCAGAUGCAGAUGAUUGUUUAGCAUUUUGUUUAGAAAAUUCUGAUCAAGCAAAUUCAUUAAAGUUCACAUAUUCAUUAAAUUCCACAUCUCUCUCUCCAUUCAGGUCAAGGGUUAAAGGAACUACCCUCUAUUUUCACUCUUUCCUUGCAAGUAUACAGGUAGCAACUGGAAGUGAAAUCCAGUUAUUCCUCGAUAAUAGAUUCUCUUGAUUAAAUGUCCCUAAUCACAUCAAUAUUAGCUAUGACUGAAAGACUUGAAAUAUAUCUGGAUUUCAGUUCUGAAAACCAGUUUAUUGCCCAACUAAAUGAAAUAGUUUGUGUAAUAGAAAUAUUAUUGCAUAUAUGUAAACCCUAACAGUAAAACUUCUAUAUCAGCUCUUCAAAUUAUAUUUAUGUUCGUAACUGUGAAAUGUAAAGUUUGGUUUACAUCCUUUAUAACAUCAGGGAAAUUCUUUUUUUCUGCUAAAACACUGGGGUAACCCAAGGACACUGCAGUUUGGGAGUUAUGCCUUUCACUGCUUCAACUGUGCAGCUGGGAAAAAACCACGUAGAAAUACUUUUGUUAUUCACAUUGCCAAAACAUUUUUCUUGAGUGUGAGGAAUAUGUAAAGUUGCAAGUUUACUCCAUAUAAGCAUAGUGGUUGAAUCUCUUUAACCCUUUUCUUCUCACUGCCAUAACAAACAUUACAGAAACUGUGCUUGAAAACUGUACUGCAGCCUUAUGUCUUAGUAUUUAAAUCAGAACUUGUAAAAUGCACACUGCUUUAGUUACUAUUUCUCCAUAUACAGUAGUUUUUUUAUAGUCUUUUUCCUCCUUGUGAUUAAUUUUGAUGCCUUGUCAUAUUUGGGCACAGAGAAUACAAUCCCUACUAUUACUGAUUGAGGGUUUGUGCAUCUUUGUGUUACUUUUAUUUUUCGUUGGUAAUUUUCUCAUGUCCUGCAAUCCAGUCAGUUCUUUCAAAACUCUGGUAAGGAUUAGAAAAGUUUUUUUAAUAAAUAGUGGCCUGGAACUGAAGACAGGAGAGAAGAGAGAAAGGUGAUGUGUUUCUAUAAUUUUAUCUUAGCUUCCAGUUUGAACUACUCUUUCUAAAGAGAAGCACUUUUUUCUAACUAUAAAUGGACUGUGUUUCAAUAUGCUCCCUGAUCAUAAAGCUGAUGAAAUGGUCCUCUCUGUAUGUCAGAUUACCUCAGCAGAAUUUACAAAUGGAAGAUGAUGAUUUUGCUAAUGUCCAUGGGCAGGUAGACAUAAUUUGGUCCCAGAUGCUCUGCGGAAUAUUCAUGGCAAAAGUGACUCAAAAACAAUGCCUCCAUAUGCCAUAAUUGCUGGAAUUAUUUCUCAGGCAUAUUCCCUUGUCAUCCCUCAUAUGUAGAACUCAUUAGAUUCCUAGUGGGAGAACAUAUGGAGAAGAGAGUUGAUGGAAAACAUUAUAAAACAGAUUGUGUAUUUAAAUUUAUAUUAUAAAAGACCUCUGUGCACAGGCAAACUUAGCAGAGAAAGUUCAAACUCUUUCUUUCCACUUCAUAAGGAAAUUGACAUUUAUGGAGCUGUUAGUACAUUCAAAUCCACUUCUAGAUGGUGGAUUAAAACCUGGCUUUACAGCUAACAGUGGUAAUUUUGCUGCUAAUUUGAAGCCAACUCUGUAUUUCCUACAUUUUAGCAAAUAUUUACUUAAACUACAAUUAAGAUCUUUUUACUAAUUGGAAUGACCAGAAGUUCCACCCAUACAAAUCUGUUGGCAGGAUCAGGCCUUUGGCUAUGGGUUGUGAUUUCAGUGUCAACAUAAUAUCUUUGAUGAAUAACGUGUUUCUAGUUCUCAAAAGAGUUUUAAUAUUUCUUUCAUCCAUCUCAGCUGACUAAUGGAUGAGGAUUGUAUCCAGUGCAGAGAUGUUUUAAUGACUACUAUUAGAUAAUUAUUUAUCCUCUACAGCAGUUAAAUACCCCAAAAAUAAGUUAAUCAUACAUUUAUUCAAAGUAUUAUACACAGAUGUUUGUGAUGCCUUUUUUUCAUUACACUUAGGACUCUUUAUUGGUUUAAGGUAAUUUAUUUUCUGUUAUUUUUUACUCAAGACUGACCAUGAAACAGAUUUCAAUAGGGAGCACUUGGGGUGCCAUAAAGUGUCCCUCCCUGUAGUCGAGGUGGGCACUAGCAGGAGCUCCCUGUCAGCCAGGUGUGGGGGAACAGACUGAUGUCUGUGACCUUGCUGCCAUGGCUGGUAAAAUACGGCCUAUCACCAGGAGAAGGUGUAGAAAGUGCUUCCAGAGAAACACAUCUGCCCAGCUCAUAAAGGAACAGUUCUGACAGGGUGUCUCUCAGUACAUGGAGCUGAAUCAAAUGUUAUACCCAAAUCAAUAGAGAAGGACACAGGGAAACUGUAGGGCAUCUCUGGCUCUAUAGUGUGGCUCUGUAGACCUUAAAAAUGUUUGAUAUGACCACAGGAUGUCCAUUUAGGUCACUGCCUUUUUAAAAGAAGAUGGAACAUAGCUCUUUAAAUAGUAUCUGCAGUAGAGUUGUGUGUGUAUUUGCUGGCCAAUAUGCCUUCCUGAAGCCAAGAUUUGUCAUGUUAUGAGAGACAGAAGUUCAGAUCCACACCUCCUCCUUUGCUGCUGGAAAUGGACUGUGUUAUUAUACUGUUCUUCUAAACCAGAGUCACACAGUACACUAUUGGCAAGUGCUCUGAACCCUUCAGAGCAAAAUAGUUACUCUGACAAGCCUCAGCAGGAAGCAAAAUGUGCAUUACCACAAAUGCUUUGUCUUAAUACUGACAACCUUGAUUGUUCUCUAUGUGUGGAUUAUUUCCUGACAGCUGCAGGAAAAAUGUUUGUUAUUAGGUGAAAAUGUAAAAUUUUUAGUUUGCACCAGUCUGAACAUCACACUUAAAAGAUAUAUUUUGCAAUUUCGUAUAUAUUUAUCAUAUUAUGAUAAAUUAAUUUGUGCUAUAUAUGUAUUAGUCUCUCUGUCAGCUGCUGGUGGCACCUUUUAAAAUAGUGUCAUCUAUUACUGACUUUUUUAAUCACUGCAGAAAAAUGGUCAUUGGGUGGUGGUAAAGUCUUUCAUCAGCAUUUUGUGGUUUUUCCAUUCUCUCAGUAUGUGCAUGAGAAACUGGAUGAUGAAGUAGUGAAAGAGCCUUGAAGACGUACUGAUUUAAUUAAUUUCAGGCAAAUAGACCUUGAUUAGUGAAGAAAGUUAUAGCUCCUCUGUGUAAGAUUGUGUUCCAUCAUUCAGAAUAUCCAGCCCUCUGCUUUGAUUCAAAUUUGAUUAUAAGAAAUUGGGGCAGUAGUAAUAUCAAUAUAAAAGAUUAAUAGCAACUUGAAAGAUGAAUCCUUAAGCAUUGAUGUAUGUGAUCAAGUAUCCAGCACAUUUUAAAUCCUGGGCUUUACCUAAUGCUCCUAAUGGCUAAGGUAAAUAGCAAGUAUGUUCCACAUUUUUAUGUCCUUGGAAGGAAAUACAGACAUAGCAGAAGACUGGCAGCAGAAGUGCUCACUGUACUUCAGUUAAUGAUGUUUUUAUUGCUCAAGUCCAUAUAGCUUGGAUCUUACCUCACCUUUUGUUAAAGCAUGUAACAUAAGGACCUUAAACCAAUCGAUUUCUGCAAUUAGCAGUUCUGAAAGGAAGCACAAAAACAAGUUCAAGGCUGUUUAUGCCUGGGUUAACUCCACUGUCUUUAGUGAAGUUUUUCUCCAGUUAAAUCUAAUCUUAACUUUCUAGAUAAAUUGUUCCAAAAACUAAGCUGCAGUUAAUUUGAAGAUCUACAUUUAAGGGCAUGUGAAACUCCAAGGGCUUGGGUAAGAAUAAAAUAAAGAUAACAGAAAAUUUAGGUUUCUUUUACUGUUUCACCAGAUAUCACAUUUUUAUAUAAUGGUGGGAAUUAUGGUUCUGGUCCCACCUCCAACAGAGAAAUAUGUGAAAUUCAGUCCUGGUCUUAUUCCUUCCAUUAAAUACAUACCAAAUGCUGUUUAUGAAUGUCAUUUGGCACAAAAUUUUUUUCUCAAAACCCCAGUGUGAGGUCUCUGUUCCAUGCCUGUGCAUCUUGCAUCCUGAAAGUAGAGCUUUCUGGGAACUUUGCUGAUGACUAAAUCUUCUUAUGGACUUCUGCUGAGGUUUGCAUUUCUUACUGACUAUCUAUGUGAGCUGUUCUAAAAAUUGUGUCGUUGGUUCAUACUCCUGCAUCUCCUCACUUUUUUGUUGAUCAAUAUAGUAAUAAAUGCUUUAUAAAUAGUC